rnacentral:rRNA from 1 species
ACGGGGGGUGCAAGCGUUGUUCGGAAUUAUUGGGCGUAAAGAGCGUGUAGGCGGCUGAAUAAGUCAGAUGUGAAAUCCCUGGGCUUAACCCAGGAAGUGCAUUGGAAACUAUUCAGCUUGAGUAUGGGAGAGGUAAAUGGAAUUCCUGGUGUAGAGGUUAAAUCCGUAGAUAUCAGAAGGAACACCGAUGGCGAAGGCGACUUACUGGAACAAUACUGACGCUGAGACGCGAGAGCGUGGGUAGCAAACAG